GAUGAACGCUGGCGGCGUGCUUAAUACAUGCAAGUCGAACGAAUAGACGAGGAGCUUGCUCCUCUGUCGUUAGCGGAGGACGGGAGUGUAACACGAGUAUACUCUCCCUAUAAGACUGAGAUAACUUCGGGACACCGGCUAUUAUCGCGUAUAAUCUAUUGAACCGCAUGGUUGAAUGGUGAAAGACGGUUUUGCUGGCUGUAAUCGAUGGAUAUCAGCUGCUUUGGCUAGUUGUUGAGGUAACGGCUUACCAAGGCAACGAUGCGUAGCCGACCUGAGAGGGUGAUCGGCCACACGAGAACGUAGACGCGGUCCAGACUCCUACGGGAGGCAGCAGUAGGGAAUGUUCCGCAGUGGGCGAAAGCCUGACGGAGCAACGCCGCGUGAGUGAUGGAGGUCUUCGGAUCGUAAAACUCUGUUAUGAGGUAAGAACAAAUGUGUAAUUUACUGUGCACGUCGUGACGGUACCGAAUCAGAAAGCCACGGCUAACUACGUG
rnacentral:rRNA from 1 species